rnacentral:tRNA from 1 species
GGCGGUGUAGCUCAGCUGGCUAGAGCGUUCGGUUCAUACCCGAAAGGUCGGGGGUUCGAUCCCCUCCACCGCUACCA